rnacentral:rRNA from 1 species
UACGUAGGGGGCAAGCGUUGUUCGGAAUUACUGGGCGUAAAGGGCGCGUAGGCGGCACGGCAAGUCGGGAGUGAAAGCCCGGGGCUCAACCCCGGAGGGUCUUCCGAAACUGCCGAGCUAGAGUGCGGAAGAGGCAACCGGAAUUCCCAGUGUAGCGGUGAAAUGCGUAGAUAUUGGGAAGAACACCGGAGGCGAAGGUGGGUUGCUGGGCCGACACUGACGCUGAGGCGCGAAAGCCAGGGGAGCAAACGGG